ensembl:lncRNA
AAAGUCAAGAUGAAUUUUAUAUUAUUCAUCACCCAACAAGUAUUUAUUGAGGUCCCUGGCAAGAGCUCAAAAUCGUACUGUAAAAUUCCCCUGGAAAAGAAGGGAGACAGCGGGAUAUAUACUGCAGAAGGGAUUUAUGGCUGGAUUCAAGGCGAUUAUUCCGGGAAAACAUCCUCAGGUUUCAGCCAUUCACUUUCCUGGAAUUCUAACGGAGGUACCAAGCUGGAAGAGCCCAAAAGACACACACCAAGCUGCCCAGAGAGCUCUCCUCUAAAACGCACACUGCAGCUCUAUAAGCAGACCGGUCCACUCAACGAGUGACGCUGUGGUGGGACUCCCUUUCAUUUGGUGUCAAAGCCAUGAAAAAUCUCCUCAUGCGCUGGGUUUCCACCCAGCCCCAGUGAGGAGACACCCCGAUGCGUGGGAUAGUCAAAGAGUGCAGGACUGCAGCCAGGAGACCUGAUCUCCGUCUGGGCCGCCCCAUUGAAUUGCUGCACAACUCCAGGCAGGUGACUGAGCCUCCCUGGACCCCGUCUCCCCAUCUCUCAAGUGACGGGGGCUGGACUCAAUGACUCCUAUGAUGGUUAAUUUUAUGCAUCAACCUGGCUGGACCACAGUGCCCAGGUGUAAGAUGCUGGGAGUCUGAAUGGCCACAGAGAGGAAAGUAUGCGCGUUUCUCAGCCUGCAGCUCCUCGGGGCAGGGAUGUCAGAGUGAUCAGGACAAUGUCCUCUUUCAGGAGGACUUGUGCAAUGGGCGUCCUCGGCACAGCAAUAAAUACCAGUAGUUCCACAACUGGUACACCAAGUACUGUGCGGGUAUGGAGAGAGAUAAAUUGAUAUGAGUGCAGCCAAGAGGAAAUGCAAAAGGGGAGGGUAUGAAGACAGCUUCACAUUCCACCAGUUUUGCCAUCUUCUGCAGGGACCUCCCCGGCUACUUGCCACAUUAUGACGCUGUUAUUCCAGGGGCAGGAAGCAGGUUCUCUACUGGUGAUUGAUGAGGUGUUGCUAUAGAGCGGAGCAUCUGCCACAGAGGAAACAGGGAGACUGUCUCUGCAAGACACCAUCCAGGGGAAGGCGGGAGGGAGGGAGAGCAGGAGCAGGCUGAUGCUGAAAUCCAUCUGAGGACCACAGCGGCUCAGAGAAGCCUGCCCCGCACCAGCUGUUGUCUGGAAGCCCCAGGACCCUUUCACGCCUCUCCUUUGACACACUUUGAGCAGAUCUCGGCCACGGCUUUCAGACCUAGAGAGACCACAGAUGGCAGAUGGCAGCUCCUUCUCAUCCUCCUUUGCUGUCUCUUCUUCCUCCUUAAGUCCUGUGUCUCCCAUGUUCCAGCCAAGGUCCUCUUCUCUCCUAGUCUACGCCUUCCUAGGUUGUUUCAUCUAUGCGCAAGGCUCUAAUUACCACCCCUGAGCGGCUGCACCCCAAAUCUAGACACCCAGUCCUUCUUCUCUCCUGGGGUCCUGACAAGCUCCUCUAGAAUGUAAGCCCCAUGAAAGCAAGGAUGGUCAUCUCUUGUUCUCUGCUGCCUCUCCAGCUUCUGGAACAGUUCCUGGAACAUAAGUGAUGAUUAAUAAAUAUCUGUUGAAUCAGUGAAUGAACCUGCCUCCCACAGCCUUUAGACAUCUCCACCUCGGCUUGCUUGGACUCACCAUGUAUAAAACCCAACUCUUGGUCUCCCCUCAAAACCUGGGCCCCCUCUUGUGUUCCCCAUUUUGUUGAUUCCCUCCACCAUCCAUUUCCUUGCUAGUCCCCAAAUCAGGGCGCCAUCUGUGUCUCCUUUGUUCUCCAUCGCCUCCGACUUCAAUGAGUCUCCAGGUGCUACCUUCUUAGUAUUAAUUACUGUUCGCUUUUCUCUUUCUCCACCUGGACUGAGGAAUGAGACACCCUCAUUCUUG